UCGGCGCCCGGUACUUCAAGGACUCGAGUCGGGGCGCUGUGGUUAGUUGAGGCGGCGCGCGCCGGGCAGCUGGAGAGCCCACUCUGGGUCGGCUUGGUGCUUCUUCUUGUCACCCACUGCUCACCUGUCGUGAAUGUCUCCAGUGCGCCUAAUCCCUACUGACAGGAACGCGCUGUUCCUCACAGUCACCCUCUGAAAAGGAAAUCAGAGAUGUUUGAGGAAAUAUUUGAAGUUCUGCUACUAGAGGGAAGUAUGUGCCAUGGAUGUGGGCACUGAGUAGCCGCUGGGUCUGAUAACCAGGAAGGCAUUUGGGAUUCCAGUCCUACAAUCACUGGGACCUGAACUCCGCCGACAACCUAAAUGAGCUUGGAAGUGGAUUCUUCCUCAGAGCCUCCAGCCAACACCUUAAUUACUGCUUGUGAAAAGUAAGUUAAGAGCCCAUCCAAGACUUCUGGUCUGUGAGCUAAGGUGCAUAGUCCCAAAUGACUUCUUCUGCCGCAAUGAAAUAUUCCCACCUCUUAAUGUGCCGCCUCUGGUCACGAGCUCACCUUUGUCUUCUGAUUGCCGCUAUCAACCCCACCACCUUCCAACAGAAGACUCCACUGGUUUCUGUGGACUCCACUGGCCUGUGACCUCGACAGGGUGUUGAUCAGUCACACUGAGCACUCACUUUGUUGCCAUGGUUGCCCUGACUGGUUGAUUUGUUUGUUGGCAUCACAUGACUGCAAAUACCAGAUGCCAGAAAUAAGUCUUCUAAGUUAUUUAACCUAAUAAGACCUUUUAAUACAAUGAAUAGUUUAGAAUAUUUAUUUAGCCUCCCUUCUUGCUUCUUCAGAAUAAAAGCAAAACAAAAGGGUGUUUUCAUGAAUGCAGGCCAAAUACUUUCAUGAAUGUAAGCAAAAUUAUGGCUGAUUGUUUUUUGGAGUGCCUGCUAUACUCUUUCUUUCCCACCUCUCCUUAGUGCCCAAAACUGAAUUGCGGGGAAGGAGUGGCCUCUCUUGGGGUUCCAGGAAGCCAGCACAACAUGUACUCAAUUUCAUGUGGUUGAAAAAUUUCAUGUGGUUGAAGUUGGAAAGGACUGUGAGAAGUUAAUUAAUCCCAUCCCUUGUUCUCACAUGAAUAAGUGCAGGGCAAUGCAUUGUUGCAGCUACUUUAAAUCCUUUGAGAACAAAAGUUUUAUAAUCGUCCUUGAAAAGAUGCAGAGAAGCUUAAAGUUAGCUAUGUAAAAACCUCAGUUAGGAUUCCUUAAAAUGAGCUUGGCCCCGCCACCUAUCCACAUGUCCACAAACUUCAAUGGAUAGGCCUCUUCAGGCCACUAGUCCUGCAGCCUAAUCAUCCUGCCUACCUCUGUACCCCCCAUGACAACAACUUCUGAGUUCCUGCUGUAGAAGUGGGCCAUGUGACUUGCUCCACUAGAAUCAUACCCACCAGAUGAAUGCGGCAGAAACUAGGGGAAAGGUACAAAUGACAUAGAACUAGGCUGGGGGGCCUCCCUUGUGGCACAGGGGGUUGAGCGCCACACUAUGAAGCAAUCCGCAGCCUCUGCAGCAAGAGUUCGAUCUCCGGAGAGCCAGAGAGAAACCCACAUAGCGAAGCAGACCUCUCCUAUCUCACCCACUGCUCCCUUCAGCAGUGUAUUUCAGUCAGUCUGCCUGUUCUGUUCCCCACUUUGUCUCUGGUGAAUCCUCUCACCCUCCUUCCCCACUACAUCUCUGGCCUGUACCCCAGCUCUUGUAUGCAUAAAUAAAUCUUAAAAAAAAAAAAAACUAGGCUGGGUAACAGGGAAGUCCACAUAGUUAAUAGUAGUGUUCAAAUCCAGAUCUUCUCAUUCAAAAUCUGAGGGUCUUCCUCAUACCAGAUUUCCCUUCUUGUAUCAAUUAGUACUGGGAUAUGAAGAUGAAUAAGAUACCACCCCUGUCUGGCAGGAUGGGUAGUUCAGAAAGAAGUUGCAUAAAAAUGGAUGGCAUAAAACAAAUAUUUUUUGAGAUGUGCAGGGGUUGACAGAAAGGAAAUGUUUUAAGUGCAAAAGUCUUAAGUAUAAAUCAACUAUCACAGUCUGCUUCUAAUUAAUUAGGUUGAAUCAGAUUUCAAAACUAUCAAUGCCUCCUUAUUGUUUAUAGAAUAAAGUCAGCAGCCUGGUGCAAGUUUGCUCUGUCACUGAGGGUGCUCAGCACAAUGACUUCAACAGGAGACACUCAAAUAUAGAUAACUUUGCAAAAGCCACAAAAGACAGGCCUCCAAAUACCUGCCUGACUCCUCUUUUCCAGACCUAAUGAAUAUGUGUCACAGCUCAUUUUUAUCCAACAACAAUUUAAUUAAAUGGUUCUUAAAUAUCUAUUGUACCUACUAAUAUUUGAACCAAAGCUAUAAAAAUAAAGAGAUUCUGUGAUAAAGAUAGGAGAUGCUUUUACUUCCUGCCCACAACUAUAUACUUGCUGUUAUUGAUAACCCCAUUGGCACAUCCCUUGCCUACCCCUGAUAAAAAAUGAAGAUAGAGACGCAUCUCCCUAAGGCUGAUCCAGCCCAAAUUUUGAAUCCCAUCACUUCCUGGUUUUGUUUUGUUUUUUUUUAGUCUGUUUUUAUCAAGUAUUCUCUGUCAGGUGUCUUUAUUCUCUCCUUUUCUGUUAGAUUUUUCCCUUGAGCACUUAGAUAUUUUUGUCACCUUAUUCCUUUUUAUAAAACUCCAAAAUAUCCUUGGAUCCUUCAUUCCUUUCAGAACUAUGCUGUCAUUCCUCCUAUUUGAAGCCACAUUUCAGGAAAUUUAUUUGUAAAGUUUGCUUCCAUUUCUUCCUCCCCAUUUAUUUCCAUUCCGUGUCCAUUUGCCAAGAGAAGUGAUGGUAGGGAAGCCAGGCAAAGAAGGAGUUUCUAGAAGCAAGAGCAUUAAAUGUUCUAAUGUCAGUGGGGAAAGAACUGGAAAGGAACCAUAGACUCAGGCAGCUCAGAGAUCAUGAGUUCCCUUUUGGAGAGUAAUUUUAGUGACUUCAUAGCAGAGUGGAUUGGGGAGAGAAUGUAGGGAAAGGAUAUGACAGGACAGAGAAUGAUAGGGAGUAUUCAUAUAGGAAAUUUGCAGCGAAGGAAAGGUGAAAAAAGGGAAAGACAGAUAGUUAAGGGAAAAUAUUUUCUUUUAGAUGGGGGUUAACCUGAACAUGGUUUUGUUUUGUUGUUGAUGAUUUAUGACUGAAAGGAAGGCUCCAAGGAAAAAUGAAGAUAAAGGGAAAGCAGAAAAGACAGAAUAGAGCUGAUAAAAAUAGGUAGAAGGAUGAUAGGUCGUCACCUGGUUGGGGGGAAGAAGGAUGAAUUAUUGACCCAGAGACCCAACUGGACAAAGUUCUCUCUUAAUGGCCUCUAACAUUCCUGUGAAGUAUCAUAUUUAAAAUCCCAGAAACCCAUUCAACCUAUUUUCCUUGAUUAAUGAAGAGAUGAGAAAAAAAGAUUUUCUUUAAAAAUGAUAGCUACUAUGUAAAUAAAACAGGAGAUGAGCACCACACUAAACAAAUUAAGAAAAGAGAUGGAAAAGAGUGAUGCAAAAGAAUCAGCCAUGUAUAGUCCUUUGAAUCCCAGUUACAGGCUGGAAGCAAAAUUUCAUUUGAUAAGGCUCAUGUGCAUUCAUUAAACUAGACCUCAGCUCCAAGGAGACAGGAUAUAUGUCCAUCUGUCCCUGUGACAUCCAAUGACUUGCCUAUAUAUAGCAAAUGCUUAGUAAUUGUUCAAUGAAUAAAAAUUAAAUACUGAAGAAUUUCAUCUAGCUUUUUUUUAAAUUUAUGCGUAUUAGAACUGGUUACAGGCCAGAGGUGCAGGGGGCUGAGAGGAUCCACCAGAGGCAAAGUGGGGAAGAGAACAGGCAGAAUGGUUGAAAUACACUGCUGAGGGAGCAGCGGGCGAGACAGGAGAGGUCUGCUGUGCCAUGUGGGUCAGCACCCUGGCCGGGGAUCGAACUUGUGCUGCAGUGGCUGUGGACAGCUUCAGAGUGCUGCGACCUAAUCCUUUGCACCACCAGGGAGUCCUUCAUUUAGCUUUUUGAUCAAGGUUAAAAACAACCUUCUUCAUGGCAUGUGACCUGUACAAUUGCAAGACUCUAGGCUCUGCUUGGCUUAAUGUUUUGCUGUCACUUUAGAAAUUCUCAAAAAUGUGAAUAAGGAACCCCACAUUUUAUUUUGUACCAGGCCCCACAAGUGAUGUAGCCCAUAUUGGUUAAAAACAACAAAAAACAUUGCUAUAAAAUGUCACCAAAUGGAUAUUUUAGGUAUAUCUAUA